rnacentral:pre_miRNA from 1 species
CUUGUACUCCCUCCGUCCGAAAAUACUUGUCAUUGAAAUGGAUGUAUCUAGAUGUAUUUUAGUUCUAGACACAUCCAUUUUGAUGACAAGUAAUUCCGGAGGAAGGGAGUACUUG